GAUAUAUGAUAAAUUCCAGUGGAAAUGUUUGUAGAAAAUUAUAAUAUUUUGGGACACUGUAUUAAUGCUGAAUUUAUAAAUAGAAGAUAACAAUGGAAGCAAUAGAUAUAUAUAAAGGGGCUUUGAACAUGUGGAGAUGAGAGGCAGCUAAGAGAGCAUGGUGUUAUCAUUUCUCUCCUCAGACCUUUGCUGAAAGUCUUGGGAUUGAAGGCAGGGAUCUUAAUCAUGGCUUUGAGGAAGUAUUAAUCAUCUGCCUGUAAUUGCAGUGAGUGCAAUAAAGCUUUAUUUAUAUAUAUAAAUAAAAGUGGGGGAGUGAGUUUCUUUUAAGCAAAAUCUUGUUUUGAGGGAUAGCUGCAAAAAAAGUUUGGAUGAAAAGAAGAAUAAAUAAUUAAAGUCAAGAGAGAGGGUGGGGGAUUGUUGAAGCUCCUCUCUCUCUCUUUCUUUAUUUCUUUUAAAGAUGGAAACUUGAAAUAGUAAAGAGGAAAAAAAAAAAAAAACUGAGAAAAGUUGCUUAGAUAAAAGCAAAGGAGGUGGUGUGUAUAUGUGGGUGUCACCUGAAACUGUUUUCUUUGAUUAGCGUGAGAGAUUCCUGGAAACUAGCUGUGUAGUAACUAAAAUUUUAAUUACUCAACCUUGGGAUUUUCAAGCCCCUUUUCUUCUUUUGGCUCUCUUUUAAAUUAUCAUCAUGGAGCCUGAAAAUGCCCAUCACCAACACCACCUUCAAGACCAGCUUCUUGGGUCUUCUUCUUCUUUAC
rnacentral:lncRNA from 1 species